CUACACUUCCCUGAACAUCAGGCCUUAUUAAAGCGCUAAGCUGUGUGGUCGGUUUUAUAGCACAUUAUUUUAUCUUAUUGCAUACAUCCACAAUGAAGAUGGCUCUGAUUUUGCUGCCUAUCCUGGCAAUCCAGUUUCAAGGAUUGACAGCAAAUCCCUCUGUGACUCAGUCUCCAGUAGUGAAGUCAGCGGCGUUGGGGGAGACGGUCUCUCUGAGCUGCUCAGCCAGUAAAGGAGUUGAUGAUGAUCUGAGUUGGUACCUGCAGAAACCUGGACAGCCUCCCAAACUGUUAUUUUAUAAAAUCAGCAGCCGUCAAUCUGAUACUCCCAGUCAUUUCAGCAGCAGUGGAUCAGAGCCUCAGUUCACUCUGACAAUCAGUGGAGUUCAGGCUGGAGAUGCUGGAGAUUAUUACUGUAUGGGUGAAUACAGAGGCCCAGUGUUCACACAGUGAUUUAUAGUCGUACAAAAACCGCCCUCAGAUCAGACAUCUGGGUGGAAGGAGACUGACAUGAUGCACCACUGCUUACAGAAACAGUCUCACACAC